rnacentral:snRNA from 1 species
GUGGUUCUUUAGCAGCACAUGUAAUCAAAUUGGAAUUAUACAGAGGUUACAUGGCCCCUCUCCAGAGAUAACUUGCAAAUUGGUGCAGCAUUCCAUAUUUUU